rnacentral:rRNA from 1 species
CCUACGGGAGGCAGCAGUGGGGAAUAUUGCACAAUGGGGGAAACCCUGAUGCAGCGACGCCGCGUGAGUGAAGAAGUAUUUCGGUAUGUAAAGCUCUAUCAGCAGGAACGAGACAAGACGGUACCUUACUAAUAAGCCCCGGCUAACUACGUGCCAGCAGCCGCGGUAAUACGUAGGGGGCAAGCGUUAUCCGGAAUCACUGGGUGUAAAGGGAGCGUAGACGGGUGUGCAAGCCUGAAGUGAAAGGCGGGGGCCCAACCCCUGGACUGCUUUGGGAACUGGACGGCUGGAGUGCAGGUGAGGUAAGUGGAAUUCCUAGUGUAGCGGUGAAAUGCGUAGAUAUUAGGAGGAACACCAGUGGCGAAGGCGGCUUACUGGACUGUAACUGACGUUGAGGCUCGAAAGCGUGGGGAGCAAACAGGAUUAGAUACCCUAGUAGUC